GGGAUAUGAAGAAAAAUAAGAGGCUAGGAUUAGCCUCUUAUUUUUACAUGCC
rnacentral:miRNA from 1 species